rnacentral:lncRNA from 1 species
AGGCCCCUUCCUUCCAUAAGACCUACUCAGGACUCCACUGGGCUGCUGACUACUCACCCUCCCCUCAGGUCAUCUCCUGACCCGUACACAGUUAUGUCCACCCAGGGUCUGCUUGGACACCUGUGCCUGAUGUUCACCAGGGGCCAGAUGUCGUCCUCAGGCCUGAUGUCCACCUAGGGCCUGAUGACUGCCUUGGCCUAUGUCCCUCUGGGGGCCUUGUGUUCACCUGGGGACUGUAUCCAGCUGGGGCCUGAUGGCCUACUGGGUCUUGUUGUUCACCUAAGGCCUUGUGUCCACCUGGGGACUGGUGAUCACCUGGGGCCUGGGUGUCCACCUGAGGCCAGAGGUGCACCUAAGGCCUGAGUUUUCACCUGGGCCUGAUGAUCACCUGGGGACUGGGUGUGUGCCUUGGGUCUUUUCCCUUUUCCUGAACAGGGCUUGCAGUUUCCAAACCAGACACAAUCUCCCAGUUGGAGAAAGAAAAAGGAUCCUAGAUGAUAGUGAGACAAAUUUCAGGAAACUCCAUCCAAAUAAGUAAAUGAGAAUGAGGACAGGAUUCAUUGCAUGGUGGCAUGUGCCUGCAGUCCCAGCUACUCAAGAGGCUGAGGUGGGAGGAUCGCUUGAACUCAGGAGUUGAAGGCUGCAGUGGGUGAGGAUCACAACACUGAAUUCCAGCUGAGGUGACAGAAUGAGACCCUGUCUCUCUAAAAAACAAGCAAGCAAACAAACCAAAAACCACAGACAAACCAGACCCCUCUUAGCAGAAUACUUCCAUGAGGUAAUAAAAGGUUUAAUUUAUUUCAGAAGUUUCUAGAUUUUAUUGUCUCUAUUUAGCCAAAGCCACAAGAAAAGUCAAAUUCAUAUCUUUAAAUGCUUUCAUUAUCAAUCAAGAAAGAAGAAAGUGAAACGAACAAACAAUUUUACUCAAGAAACUAGUGAGAAAUCAAAGAAAUGUCCAAGAAGUAGGAGACAAGAAUUAAUCAAAACAGAUUAACAGUGGAAUAAAUAAAUGAAUCCAACUGGUUCUUUGUAAUGGAAUGUAGAAAGACAUACUCUAUUCUUCUGGAUAGGAAGAUGAAAUAUCAUAAUCAUAUCAAUGCAAGUUUUAUGCAUGCUCAAACAUGUAUAAACUAAGAAAAAAUCUGAAAGGACAGACAGCAAAAUGUUUGCAGUUUUUUUCCUCCAAGUGGUAAGAUUAAAGAACACAGACAAAAAUAGAAACUCCUCACAUGACCCACCACGAAGCCCAUCAGAUGGCAGAAUGCAGAAUCAGGUUGCAAUGGACUGAUCUUAAAACAGAUGAAGCAGUGGAGAAAAUCUUCCUGGAGCUGAUGGUAUAAUUUGCUUCUUGAAACAAUGACAGUCCAUGAAAUAAGGUGGGGAAGAUGUUUUGAACCUCUCUCAGCAGCAGAUCCCUAAAUCACAGACCCAGAACUUGGAGGAAACAGGAAACAGGAGGCCAUCUCUGCACCUCUCCAGCACUGCUCUGGUUGGUGGGCAGAAUAUCAUACAAUCAUCACGAUUCUUAUAUCAAAAACCAAAUUCUAGACUGAUUAAAUAAUUAUUUUUUUAAAUGAGAAAAGUUAUCGUUUAUUUGAUCUUGGGCUAGGGAAGAUAUUUCCAAGCAAAAAGGGUAAAAAGAAGGAAAAAGAAAUGAUUAACAGAUUGGAAGGCAAUAACAAUAUAAUAUCAAGUGCUGGCAAGAGCUCAGAGAAGUGUGUGUUCUCAUGACUGCUGGAACAAAUUGGUAUAAUAUUUCUGAAGGGCAAUCUGGCUGAAUAUGUUAGAAGUCUUUAAAAUAUUUAUACUCUGACUCAGUAAUUCAACAUCUAGAAAUUUUUCCUAAGUAAGUAAUAAGAAAGAGUUGAAAAAAGUAUUUGAAUAUUGAAAGACUGGAAAGAACAUAAAGGUUCAAUAAUACAUAUAUGUUCAACAACAGGGGACUAGUAAAUAUGAAUUAUUUAUAUGAUAAAAUACUAUCUAACCUUAAAAUAAUGUUUUAAAUAAUAUUUAAUGAUGAGAAUAUGCUGAGAAAAGUUUAAUCAUUUUAAAAAAGUUACAUGCAAAAUUAAAGUUAAUAACAUGUACAAGAUUAUUCUAAUUUUUUUUUUUUUUGAGAUGC